AUUUUUAGUAUAUAUAAGAAAAAUUUAAUUUCUUAAUAGUAUAAUAGUAUGGUAAAAGAAUAAUUUUAAUUUUAUAAAGAAUAUUUUAUUAAUAGUAUCUUUUGUAUCAGAGUUAAUCAAUAAUAAUUUAAUUAUUUAAAUAUUUUGAAUUUUUUUGAUCAAUAAAAAUAAUUUAGUUAAUGUUUCAUAAUUAUUAAAAAUAUUUUUAUAGGAAUUAAAGGUUAAUCGUUAAAAAAUAUAUCUAAUUUUUUAAGAAAUUAAUUUAAUUAAUAAUUUAUUAAAAUAGAAUUAUUUUUUUUUAUUAAAAUUUUAAUAAAUUUAAGAUUUUUAGGGAUAAGCUUAAAAAUUAUUUUAAAUAAUUUUUUUUAAAUUUUUAAAUAAUAGAAUUAAUAUUGUUCAUUUAUUUAUAUUUUUUUAUUAAAAAUUAAUUUUUAUUAAAAAAUUUUAAAAUAAUUAUUAGAUUUUUUAUUAAAAAAUUAUUUUAAAUUGAUUAAAUUAAGUUAAAAUGAUUAAAUUAGUAUAAAAAAUUUUAUAAAUUAAUUUAUUAAAAAUUUAAUUAAAAUGAAUUCGGCAAUUUAAUUUUUACCUGUUUAUCAAAAACAUGUCUGUUUGUAAUGAAUAAAUAGUCAAAUCUGCCCAUUGAAAUUUUAAAGGCUGCAGUAUAUUAACUGUACAAAGGUAGCAUAAUCAUUAGUUUUUUAAUUGAAAACUUGUAUGAAGGAUUUAAUAAAAAAUUAACUUUAUUUUAUUUAUUUUAUGAAAUUUUUAUUUAAGUGAAAAAACUUAAAUUAAUAAAAAAGACAAUAAGACCCUAUAAAACUUUAUUUAUUAAAUUAUUUAUAAUUAUUUAAAUUUAGUUGGGGAAAUUAUUAGAUAAGUAUAAUUCUAAAAAAAUUAUUUUAUUAAAAUAAUAAUUAAAGAUCUUUUAUUAAAAGAUUGAUGAUUAAGUUGCUUUAGGGAUAACAGCGUUAUAAUUUAUUAUAGUUCUUAUUUAAUAAAUUGAUUGCGACCUCG
rnacentral:rRNA from 1 species